GUCACUCUUUCCUACAGCUACUGCAACAUGGCGGCAGAUUAGGGUGUUCAACUGAACCCUUUGAACCUGUUGUCCGCACGCCAAUGGCCUUAGCCUUACAGGGUCACUGCUCCGAGUGGUGGUAGUAGAGGUUGUAAAUGGGGAUCACACUUCUGCUGUCAGACCAUGCUUACAGCCGAUUGAAGCCCCAAGGAAUCAGCCAGCAGGCAAAAGUGGAGGCAAAACAUAGAUUUAUUCAGCUGCUUGCAAGACAGGGUGCGGAAGCAUGUAGCAGACCGGACAAUAGGUGCAGGGUGCAGUCACCUUUUAUACCUCGGAGUAAACAAAACUCUGGUGGUGUCAAAGCUGUCGCCCGUCGCCAAUCAAUUGGAGGAGAAGACUGAACACAGUCUGGCCACUUCCCGUCCAAGAUUCUCUCAACAAGUUAGAUCAGCAAAGACCCUGCACAGGAGAGUAAUCCAAGUCACGGCACCAAAUUGUUAGAAAACAUGUUUUUUCUCCUGUGGGCAAAGCCGAUUGAAGCUCCAAGGAAUCAGCCAGCAGGCAAAAGUGGAGGCAAAACAUAGAUUUAUUCAGCUGCUUGCAAGACAGGGUGCGGAAGCAUGUAGCAGACCGGACAAUAGGUGCAGGGUGCGGUCACCUUUUAUACCUCGGAGUAAACAAAACUCUGGUGGUCAGUAUUUUCUCUCUUUACACUGCGCAUGUCCCUCUGUUGUCUAGCUCAACAUGUUUCUUUUUCUCUACAUGCCUUGUUUCUAGUCUAUGCUGCUGACUUGUCCUUCCUCUGAAGAACAAUAGCUCUAUUCUAUUCUAUGUAUGUGUCUUCCCUGCUACGUGUCUUCUUCGCUUAGAGCUAAUGGCGUUACUCUGGCUCUUGCACUAUGACCUAUGAUUAUGUACCUUUACUCUCUAUUUAUGAUGUAACCUAAUUUGCUAACCCAGAACUGGCCAAUAGAAGGGUUAGAAAGAGACUAACACUCUCCUUUAGUCAGGGCCUAUAAACGGACUGAGAUUCCUUUGUUCUGGGUGCCUCCAUCUUGCAUACCAUGGGGAGAGCACCCCAUACUGCAGUAUCAGAAAUUGAAAGGAUUAAGAGCAUUCUCCAGCCUCGUGUGAUUAGCUAUUAAUGAGCCGGGGUAGCGAGCCUUUAACCCCUUGU